rnacentral:tRNA from 2 species
UCGCCGUUCGGCAUGGUGGACAGGAUGCGCCCGUCCUUCGACGGCGUGUCCGGCAGCUGGUAGCGGCGGUCGCCGCCCGGCGCGGCGAUGUCGAC